rnacentral:lncRNA from 1 species
AGAGCCUGUAUUUGGGCAGACCAGGAGUAGUUCAGCUGCAGGUCAGCAAUGACAUCACAGAACAAGGUUCUUUCUGUGCGCUCCCUAGCAAUUGCUUUUACACUCAUGCUAAACCUCCAAGCAUUGAUUCCAUAUUCCUGGCAGGAAGAAGGCUAAAGUGCCCAAAGUUAUCUCCUCUUUGGCUUUUUAUGGAAAGAAAACCAUUGCCAACAGACUUGUACUUAUAUUUCCAAGGCCAGUACUAUGUCCCAGGGCCAACUCAUGCAGAAAGAUGUCCGAGGGGUGCGCUUGCUUACACGGGGACCACCACUGCUGCGCAUUGGCAUUCUUCCUGCUGGCUGUGGCUGUACCGCCGAGCGACUGACCCUAACAACAAUGUUCAUCUUGGACAUACUUUGGGUCACAACUACUAGCAUUUGAAAGGCUCCAUCAGCUGCUAUUCCAGGUACCAAUGGCUUCUGCAGCUGUCUGAGGCUGGCCUAUCUUGUCUGAGGUCUCUGAAUCUGCCUCUUGGGAACACUCACUCUUAGAGUGCUUACAAGUUAAGUUUCACUUUCUUGAGCUUCCAUGUUGUUAGAGAGAUGCCAUGGGCACCCAGCCCCCAGCUCUUCUUGCCAUCUCUGUAGCCCCAAGAAAGGUGACUAAAGAAGCAUCAGAUGACUCCAGUCCUAGUCAACAUGAAAGCAGGCAAUGAGAGACCCCCACUGAGAAUCAUCUAGCUGAGUCUGUGGUUGACCCACAGAAGUGUAUGGGAUAAUAAUAAAUUGGUGUUUUAAGCCACUAGGUUUUGG